rnacentral:tRNA from 1 species
GGAGAGGUGGCCGAGUGGCUUAAGGCGACGGUUUGCUAAACCGUUGUACGGGUUUAUCCCCGUACCGGGGGUUCGAAUCCCCCCUUCUCCG